ACGAACGCUGGCGGCAUGCCUAACACAUGCCAGUCGAACGAGACCUUCGGGUCUAGUGGCGCACGGGUGCGUAACGCGUGGGAACCUGCCCUUAGGUUCGGAAUAACUCCCCGAAAGGGGUGCUAAUACCGGAUAAUGUCUUCGGACCAAAGAUUUAUCGCCUUUGGAUGGGCCCGCGUUGGAUUAGCUAGUUGGUAGGGUAAAAGUCUACCAAGGCGACGAUCCAUAGCUGGUCUGAGAGGAUGAUCAGCCACACUGGGACUGAGACACGGCCCAGACUCCUACGGGAGGCAGCAGUGGGGAAUAUUGGACAAUGGGCGAAAGCCUGAUCCAGCAAUGCCGCGUGAGUGAUGAAGGCCUUAGGGUUGUAAAGCUCUUUUACCCGGGAUGAUAAUGACAGUACCGGGAGAAUAAGCUCCGGCCAACUCCGUG
rnacentral:rRNA from 1 species